rnacentral:rRNA from 1 species
CCUACGGGAGUCAGCAGUGAGGAAUAUUGGUCAAUGGACGAGAGUCUGAACCAGCCAAGUAGCGUGAAGGAUGACUGCUCUAUGGGUUGUAAACUUCUUUUAUAAAGGAAUAAAACGAGGCACGCGUGCCUGUUUGCAAGUACUUUACGAAUAAGGAUCGGCUAACUCCGUGCCACCAGCCGCGGUAAUACGGAGGAUCCGAGCGUUAUCCGGAUUUAUUGGGUUUAAAGGGAGCGUAGAUGGGUUGAUAAGUCAGUUGUGAAAGUUUGCGGCUCAACCGUGAAAUUGCAAUUGAUACUGGCAGUCUUGAGUACAGUUGAGGUAGGCGGAAUGCAUGGUGUAGCGGUGAAAUGCUUAGAUAUCACACAGAACCCCGAUUGCGAAGGCAGCUUACUAAGCUAUGACUGACAUUGAUGCUCGAAAGUGUGGGUAGCAAACAGGAUUAGAUACCCUUGUAGUC